rnacentral:rRNA from 1 species
AUUGAACGCUGGCGGCAUGCUUUACACAUGCAAGUCGAACGGUAGAGGGGGCAACCCCUUGAGAGUGGCGGGCGGGUGAGUAAUGCAUCGGAACGUGCCCAGUCGUGGGGGAUAACGCAGCGAAAGCUGUGCUAAUACCGCAUACGAUCUCUGGAUGAAAGCGGGGGACCUUGUAGCAAUACGGGGCCUCGCGCGAUUGGAGCGGCCGAUGUCAGAUUAGGUGGUUGGUGGGGUAAAGGCUCACCAAGCCAACGAUCUGUAGCUGGUCUGAGGGGACGACCAGCCACACUGGGACUGAGACACGGCCCAGACUCCUACGGGAGGCAGCAGUGGGGAAUUUUGGACAAUGGGCGCAAGCCUGAUCCAGCAAUGCCGCGUGCAGGAAGAAGGCCUUCGGGUUGUAAACUGCUUUUGUACGGAACGAAAAGGUCUGGGUUAAUACCCUGGGCACAUGACGGUACCGUAAGAAUAAGCACCGGCUAACUACGUGCCAGCCGCCGCCGUAA